rnacentral:rRNA from 1 species
CGGCGGACGGGUGAGUAACGCGUGGGCAACCUGCCUUACACAGGGGGAUAACAGUUAGAAAUGACUGCUAAUACCGCAUAAGACCGCAGUACCGCAUGGUACAGCGGUUAAAAACUCCGGUGGUGUAAGAUGGGCCCGCGUCUGAUUAGGUAGUUGGCCGGGGUAACGGCCCACCAAGCCGACGAUCAGUAGCCGACCUGAGAGGGUGACCGGCCACAUUGGGACUGAGACACGGCCCAGACUCCUACGGGAGGCAGCAG